rnacentral:rRNA from 1 species
UGCGUUAACGAACGAGACCUCGACCUAUUAAAUAGUUUAUAUAAAAAUUUAUUUUUGUAUCAAACUUCUUAAAGGAACUGCUGCCGUUCUAGGCAGAGGAAGUACGAGGCAAUAACAGGUCUGUGAUGCCCUUAGAUGUUCUGGGCCGCACGCGCGCUACACUGAUAGAUUCAUCAAGUUUAUUUUUUAUCCUCAACUGUGAAGUUUGGGUAAUCUUUAAAUAUCUAUCGUGCUGGGGAUAGAUGAUUGUAAUUUUUCAUCUUCAACGAGGAAUUCCUAGUAAACGCAAGUCAUCAACUUGCAUUGAUUACGUCCCUGCCCUUUGUACACACCGCCCGUCGCUAGUACCGAUUGAAUGGUUA